UCCUCCCUCAAACCCCCGGGUUUGGUGUUGGACCCCAAGUUGUGUGAACAACUGGUCUCAAAGACAAUGACGGCGUCCGUGGGACCCUCGGUGCAACGAGCUUUUAGGAGCACGCGUCGAGUUUCAAGGACCUUCCGGGCCGGACUCCUUUACCACUUUUACAA
rnacentral:misc_RNA from 1 species